rnacentral:rRNA from 1 species
UUAAGCUGAUAAGAGCGCAGGGUGGAUGCCUUGGCACUAAGAGCCGACGAAAGACGUGAUAAGCUGCGAAAAGCUGUGGGGAGGAGCAAAUAUCCCUUGAUCCACAGAUAUCUGAAUGGGGAAACCCGGCUGAGGAAACCUCAGUCACCGUUAACUGAAUCCAUAGGUUAACGGAGGGAACCCGGUGAACUGAAACAUCUAAGUAGCCGGAGGAAGAGAAAGAAACAUCGAUUUUGUGAGUAGCGGCGAGCGAAAGCGAAAGAGCCCAAACCGGGUUGCGUGCAAUCCGGGGUUCGGACUGCGUAAGAGACCAUGGACGUUAACAGAAUGGCACUGGAAAGACCAUCCAUAGAAGGUGAAAGACCUGUACGUGAAAAUGGAAAUGGCUCGGCAGUAUCCAGAGUAGGACGAGACACGAGAAACCUUGUCUGAAGGAGCGGGGACCACCCCGUAAGGCUAAAUACUCCUUAGUGACCGAUAGAGCAUAGUACUGUGAAGGAAAGGUGAAAAGGACCCCGGGAGGGGAGUGAAAGAGAACCUGAAACCCUGUGUUUACAAGCUGUGGAAGCACAAGAAGGUGCAACCGCGUACUUUUUGUAGAACGGUCCGGCGAGUUGCAAUAUCUGGCGAGGUUAAGUACUUAAGGUACGGAGCCGAAGUGAAAACGAGUCUUAACAGGGCGAGAAGUCAGAUAUGGCAGACCCGAAACCGGGUGAUCUAUCCAUGUCCAGGUUGAAGCUGCCGUAAAAGGCGGUGGAGGACCGAACGCACAUCCGUUGAAAAGGGUGGCGAUGAGGUGUGGAUAGGGGAGAAAUUCCAAUCGAACCCGGAGAUAGCUGGUUCUCCUCGAAAUAGCUUUAGGGCUAGCCUCGUUUUAGUCACCUGGAGGUAGAGCACUGAAUACCCUAGGGGGCGUCAAAGCCUACCGAAGGUUAUCAAACUACGAAUGCCAGGGAGAUGAUGAACGGGAGUCAGACUGCACGAGAUAAGUUGGGUAGUCAAAAGGGAAAGAGCCCAGACCUACAGCUAAGGUCCCAAAGUGCGUGUUAAGUGGAAAAGGAUGUGGGAUUUCGAAGACAACUAGGAUGUUGGCUCAGAAGCAGCCAUACAUUCAAAGAGUGCGUAAUAGCUCACUAGUCGAGAGGUCCUGCGCCGAAAAUGUCCGGGGCUAAAACACGACACCGAAGCUUAGGAAUCGAGAGAUUGGUAGAGGAGCAUUGACAGCGCGCCGAAGCUGUACCGGAAGGCGCAGUGGAGUGCUGUGAAGAGAGAAUGCCGGAAUGAGUAGCGAGAGUAAGGUGAGAAUCCUUACGGCCGAAUAUCCGAGGUUUCCAGAGUAAAGCUGAUCUGCUCUGGGUAAGUCGGGACCUAAGGCGAGGUCGAAAGACGUAGCUGAUGGACAACAGGUUGAAAUUCCUGUACUACGGUAUGAAAGAAAUGUGGGGACGCAUGUGGAGAGCAUGAGCCGGGAAAGGAAAGACCGGUGCAAGCGAGACAGUAGCCAUGCAGGCAAAUCCGUGUGGCAAUACGAAGACGUGACGCGGACCGAAAUAAAGUAGGGAAGCAUGUGAGCCAUGUGCCAAGAAAAGCCGCUAUAGAUCAUACCGUACCCGUACCGUAAACCGACACAGGUAGAUGAGGAGAGAAUCCUAAGGCCGACGGGAGAAGCAUUGUUAAGGAACUCGGCAAAAUGACCCCGUAACUUCGGGAGAAGGGGUGCCCACGCGAGUGGGCCGCAGAGAAUAGGCUCAAGCAACUGUUUAGCAAAAACACAGGUCUAUGCGAAACCGAAAGGUGAGGUAUAUGGGCUGACGCCUGCCCGGUGCUGGAAGGUUAAGAGGAGGAGUCAGGCAACGAAGCUCCGAAUUUAAGCCCCAGUAAACGGCGGCCGUAACUAUAACGGUCCUAAGGUAGCGAAAUUCCUUGUCGGGUAAGUUCCGACCCGCACGAAAGGCGUAAUGAUUUGAGCACUGUCUCGACAAUGCACCCGGUGAAAUUGAAGUACCAGUGAAGAUGCUGGUUACCUGCGCCAGGACGGAAAGACCCCAUGGAGCUUUACUCCAGUUUGAUACUGGGAUUCGAUACUGAAUGUACAGGAUAGGUGGGAGGCUGAGAAGCGUGGACGCCAGUCUGCGGUGAGCCGCUGUUGGGAUACCACCCUUUGAGUAUUGGAUUUCUAACCUGCGCCCGUGACCCGGGCGGGGGACAAUGUCUGACGGGGAGUUUGACUGGGGCGGUCGCCUCCGAAAGGGUAUCGGAGGCGCUCAAAGGUUCCCUCAGAAUGGUUGGAAACCAUUCGCAGAGUGCAAAGGCAGAAGGGAGCUUGACUGUGACACCGACGGGUGGAGCAGGUACGAAAGUAGGACUUAGUGAUCCGGUGGUAUGAAAGUGGGAUUGCCAUCGCUCAACGGAUAAAAGCUACCCUGGGGAUAACAGGCUUAUCACUCCCAAGAGUUCACAUCGACGGAGUGGUUUGGCACCUCGAUGUCGGCUCAUCGCAUCCUGGGGCUGUAGCAGGUCCCAAGGGUUGGGCUGUUCGCCCAUUAAAGCGGUACGCGAGCUGGGUUCAGAACGUCGUGAGACAGUUCGGUCCCUAUCCGGCGCAGGCGUAGGAUAUUUGAGAGGAGCUGUCCUUAGUACGAGAGGACCGGGAUGGACAGACCGCUGGUGUAUCUGUUGGUGACCAACACCAUGGCAGAGUAGCCAAGUCUGGCAGGGAUAAACGCUGAAGGCAUCUAAGCGUGAAGCCCCCCUCAAGAUGAGAUAUCCCAAUAAGUAAGACCCCUUAGAGAGUAUGAGGUAGAUAGGCUUAAGGUGUAAGCAUAGUAAUAUGUUCAGCUGAUAAGUACUAAUAGGUCGAGGGCUUAUCCU